rnacentral:lncRNA from 1 species
CCACUCCAUGAUGCCUCUUCAGCGACUCCAUCCCAAAGAUGCUGCUGUGCUGCCCAAGACCACAGAAGCUGGGAAGUUGGGCAGUCUCCAUCCCAGUCGCCUCAUCAGUGCCCACCGCUUGCCGCCUGCCUUUCCUCCCCCAGGACCACCCACCAGUCCUUCUGGGCCCUUGAGCAGGAGUUGUGCUAACUCAGGGAACUCAUCCAAGGAAAACAACUGACCAUCAGGAAGAAGGAAACACCAGAGAAGCU